rnacentral:tRNA from 1 species
GGUCGGGUAGCUCAGUGGUUGAGCAAUUGCCCGGCAAGCGAGAGAAUCGGGUUCGAUUCCCGGACCGGUUG